GAUCAUGGCUACAGGAUUAACGCUGGCGGCAUGCCUAAUACAUGCAAGUCGAACGAAGGUACUUGUACCUUAGUGGCGAACGGGUGAGUAACACGUAGGCAACCUACCCAUGAGACGAGGAUAACUAUUGGAAACGAUAGCUAAAACUGGAUAGGAUAUCGGGAGGCAUCUCUUGAUAUUUAAAGGUCCUUAAUAGGAACACUGAUGGAUGGGCCUGCGUUGCAUUAGCUAGUUGGUGAGGUAACGGCCCACCAAGGCGACGAUGCAUAGCUGUGCUGAGAGGCAAAACAGCCACAUUGGGACUGAGACACGGCCCAGACUCCUACGGGAGGCAGCAGUAGGGAAUUUUCGGCAAUGGGGGAAACCCUGACCGAGCAAUGCCGCGUGAAUGAAGAAAAAUUCUUCGGAAUGUAAAAUUCUGUUAUUCGUGAAAGAAAGGUAUAUAGAGGAAAUGCUAUAUAUUUGACGGUACCGAAUGAGAAAGCCCCGGCUAACUAUGUGCCAGCCGCUGC
rnacentral:rRNA from 1 species